GGCAAAGGGGGGCUGGGGGAGCCUCCUGCACCACAUCCAUGGCCUGGCUGGAGCUGUACCCCACACACCCCACAGCGGGAACAUGGCAGUGACCACAGGUUGGGAACACGGGAGAGAAACUUCCGGAGAUCAGGAACGACUCUUACAGGCAACUGGAUCCAAGAGUAACACACAGCAACUGGACUCCGGACAGGAAAUCUAUUACACUGACUGCUCUCAAGUCAGCGAGUGUGGCCACAGUACCAACUGCAAACCAGCCCUGACCCCCUGGAACACGCCUGCCAUGACCUCUGGGCUGGGGCACUCACCCUGACAGCUGCUGCAGCACCGGGCACUUUUAGAUGCUUUUCAGAGUUAGUCAAUAGUUUCCUGCUAUUUUACCCAGUCACAAUGCCUCAAUUGGAUUUUUUUUAAGACUGCGACCUUGUUCUAUGAGCCAGCA